ACUAGGAAGGACAUAACGCUUUUCAGAAUGAUUUCCAUCUUUAUGAGGGGUAAUGAGCUCAAAUGUCUUCCAAAGCCAGUGAGUGGAUAAUGUUAUUAGUGAAGUGGACCAGGCAUAUAUAAUAAAAGGGGUGGUGUGUCCAAAGACAUGGAAAUCUAGUUUAAAAAAUGCUCUCAUGCCAACAGACGCACAUAUGCCAGCUAGAUUCGGCCAGUAGGCUGCCACUGUGAGAUGCCUGGUCUAAGUGGUUAAAUUUAAGUUUAAGGGCUGGAAGCCUUUUGAAAAGUGCUGAAUGAGGAAGAGUUGGCUUCGUAGAAACAGAUAACCUCGCCCUGAAUUAAAAAUAUUUAGCAGAACUUGCCUAGCAGAGAAAAUGUCAAACUUUCUCUUGUCUUCGGUGCAUGAGGCCAGCAAGCAGAUGACUGAACGGAAGCAUAAGUGAGUCAUUUCUCUUAAGAAGUCUCAGACUUAGCAGGGAUAUUAACAAUGAGCAUUGAGGAAUUUUCCCUCUCAUUUUCUAGAAUUUCUGUCUUUUUCUGAGCAAACUAGGAAACAAAACUCAAAACAUCUCAAAGGGCCACUGUAAACAUGAUCAUUCCUUUGUACAGAGAAUCCCUACUUUCUGAAGUCAAUUAAUUAUUCCUUAAUUCAAAUCAACCCAGAGAUUUCAUGGAUAUCCCUGAUUUAAUUCCAUUUGCUUUGGGCUAUUCAGAAUUGCAGGAGAAUUGAAUGUCUCUUAGCAGAUCCUUUGCUAUAUUUGGGGAAUCAAGGGAAUGUCUGCCAGUGGCACUCACAGCUACCCUUCUGGUUUGUUUUCACUGUCACCAGUCCCAAAGUCGAGUUUCUUAUUGGUUUUCAAGUGAGUUUGUUUUCACAAGUCAAUUUGUGUGUGAUGGGAUCAGAUAAGCCCUUCCUACAGGAAAGAACAACAUUCUGAAGUCUGACUUGCUUUUAGAAAUCCUUGGCCCUAAAUCAGAGUUGGAGACAUGUUUAUAUCUGGGGCUAAAAAUGACCAACUGAGACUUGGUAAACAAGUAAAUGAACAUGACACUGGACCCAAAGGAGAAGAAUUGCAGCUUUGAUAAAUGGCAACUUGAUUUGGAAAAGAGAUGCCUUUAUUUAAACACCAUCAUAGCCAAGUGGCCUGGGAUGAAGACUUUGCAAUGGGUCUUUGAGCAGACCACAUGAGGUACGGCUCUGAAUUGCAAAGGAUCCUUUCAUUUGCCACUAAAUCAGUCCUUUAUCAAAACAGCACCAGCCUCUGAAAGAAGGUUUUCAUGUUGAAAAUAGAAUUUACUUGCAAAAAAACCUGGUUGAAUCUAUUAUAUAACUCAGAAGAAUUUUCCUUUACGUCAACACUGCUGUGUUUGAACUAGCCUUGUGGUCCCUUAAACAUGGAAGGAUUCGACUUAGCUUCAUUCCUUCUUGAUCUUGAAUGCUGAAGAAACCACAGUCUUAUUGGGGUCUCCACAAUGAACAGAAAUCUGCGGUUUCUACCUCUUAAUUCUUCCCCCAUCCCCACUGAGCCAGAGACAAGCAACCCAGUCCUCUCUCAUGGAAGUGGACCAAGGGAAGAUGUGCAAAAUGCCACUCCUCAUGGGAAAUCCUACUCUGGGGAGGUCUUACCAUGAAACUGGCACUAUUUCUGUGGAGACAAGGCACUUUAGUGAAAGGAACUUGUAGGGUGGAAGAUGCUUAAUUCUCUCUGCAUCACCUGCUUCUUCCCCAGCCCUGGGGCACUUACCUUCCAUCUUGGGAGUAGGAGGGAAGGGAGCGAGAGCUCCACCUCAGUUGGGUUCCCCCCUUUGUGAAUGCUCCAGCAUUCCCAAAGGAAGCAAGCACACCCAUUCCCACCAACUGUGUUGGUUUAAGUUCUGUACUGACCAACCAGGAAGAAUGCUAACAGAACAUGGAGGGGUAGAGAGAAAGGUUGGUUAGAGUACAGCUAAAGUUGAACCUCAAAGCUCUGGCUGGGACAUGGGGAUUCAUACGGGCUGAAGCAAUUGGGACAGAAUAAAGAACAAAAAUCUGUCCCCAAGAUACCUGGGUACCUGUGCAAAUUUGUCCCAUUGUGGCUGUGUGAUGUGGGCAGGUCAUUUGCCCUCACUGGGCCUUGGUUUUCCUCACCUGAAACAAGUGCUGGGGUAGAACUCUUGUUCUGGAAUGGUGGGUGACUUUAAACAGUUUGACAUUAUAUCCUAAAACAGAACACUUGAACACCCUAGGACCAAGAAAUUCCAAAAGAUACAAACAAGAAUGUUUUUAUCAGCACUUUUUGUAAUAUCCCAGACUGGGAAUUACCUGAAUAUUCAUUCACAGUCAAAUACAGUCAUGUAAUAAAAUACUAUGCAACAGAGAAAAGGCCAUGGACUACAAUUACAUGCAGUAACAUACAAUAACACUGACCCUAAGCAACUCCAAUUUAGAAGACCUAGAGUGGCUAUUUGCAUUUUCCAUGUUGGGACAAACUUGGCCUGUUUCGUGGGACUGUUGUGAAGCAUCAAGUGUGACAGUGUGUGGUGAAGAUGCUGCAUAAACUGGACAGAGAUUACUGUUCUGUUAUGAUAACAACUCAAAGGUAUUGAUUCCUGGUAAACUUCAUGUAGUCUCAAAUUUUGUGUCAGCAUCAGCUUCCUGAGUAUCCAGCCUGCGACUCUGUGACUGAGAUGUCACUGAUGCAGGAUAAGCAGAAGCUGUGUGCACUGUUCUGGGGCCCGGCCUUCAAAAACCUCCUGGGAAGAUCUCAUGCUUUCUCCGUCAGCUCUCUGGAUACAGACUUCAGUGAUGCCCUAGGGCAUGGUGGAGCCUCAAGAUGGAAAUAGCCUACGGAUCACGAGGAAGAGAGAUGCACCUACCCCUCACCUUGAACACCCUUCCAAAACCAUUAGGAGAAUUGGAAAUGAUCUUCUUUUGUACAAAGCCACUGAGUUUGGGGCAUCUACUUGUUAUUUUAGUCUAUCCUGACUUGUCUCCUUUUCUCAUUUGCCUCUUCAGAUGCAAAUAGAGGGGGUGGCCAUUGGCCAGGUGUGACUGGAAGUCCAGGUGCUCACUGUGUCUAGACUUAAGCAGGCCAGUGGUUACCACAGAACAAGAGAGAACAAGGCUUGGGGAGGCUUUUCUGUGCAGAGAUCCACAGUCCCUUAAAAUGUGGCUCAAUGCCACCAGAUUUGUCCAUCAAAAGGCAACUGGUUGCUUUUAGGAGCAGGAAUCAUGAGAUAGAGAGAAAGUAAGUUCUUAUUCCACUCCCUGAGUGGAGAGCAGAAUUAAAGAUCUUUUUAUGUGGCUCAAGGUUGGAAUGUAGGAAAAAGAGCAUGAUUCCCGUCACAAUGGAAUCAUCCAAUCCUUUUGUUAUUGUGUAGAGAGGGGUGGAUAGAUAGAUGAUAGAGUCAUGAUAUAUAAAAGGAUGGAUUGUAUACAGAUAAUGGGUAGAUGGAGAUGGUAGACAGGUGAUGGAUGAUAGACAAAUAUAAGUAGAUGAUAUUUAAUACUGGAUAGAGGGCAGGUAAGUAGAGAGGAAAUUGAGGUUCAGAGGCACUAAGGUAUGUUCCCACUGUCAGGUCACACAGGUCACACAUUAGUCAUAGAAACAAUUCAACUCUUGGUGGAAUUCACAACCCAAUUCUGCAUUCUUUCCUCUCUUGAGGAUGGCAAUGAACAUGUUCCAUUUGCACCAUACACAGGGUUUCACUAGUCUUAUACAAUGUUUUGCUUACUUUUGUUUUAUUAGGUUUAGAAUUAAUCCACUUGUACUCUAAUUUUAACUUAGGUUUUGUCAUUUUGUAGGGUUUUACAAGAUCUUUUUAUUUUUUCUUUCUUUUUUGAAUGGUGAUGGUGGAGUAGGCAUUUAAAAGCUGCAAUCCCUAAAUUCUUGCAUGUUCAAACAUGAUUUUUUGUUUGAAGGACAAUUUGGGUGGGUACACAAUUUCUUAGUAACACUUUUGCUUGGAACCCUUAGAAUGGAUUUAUUACAACAUAUCAGAGGAGACACCUAAGGUUGAACAAGUUGAGUUGGACAGUGGAGAAACCUUCAGUUCCUGGCUGUUUUAUUUUGACUGUGUACUGUUGGCAAUGGAGGGCGUUGAAGGUUUCUGUGCAAGGCAGUGGUAAUUAUUGUAGAUGGAUUUGUGAAGGAGGAGACUGAUCACAGAGAGGCCAGAUCAGAGCUACCACAUAAUGGUUAGGUGGCCAAGGCCUGAACUAGGGCAGUGGCAGUGUUAAUAGAUACACUGUGGAUGCAGAACUGAUAGAGUUCAGCAAGGUUAUCAAAGGGACAAGGACAAAGGGGGAGGGGAGCUGCUAAAAAACAAUGCCUGAGGUUAAACUGGGGGCAAUUAGGAAGAUAGUAUCAUUUAUAGAUCCACAGAAAGAAGGCAGAGGAAGGAAUGGAAAAGGGAAUGGGAAGAGGAAGAGAAGGGAAAGAGGAGAUCCAAGUGAAGACAUUUUGGAGGAGCAGGUAGAAGCCUCAGUGGAGCAGUCCAGAUACAGCUGAAAUCUGGGGCUGGAGUUCAGAGAAGAGGUUAGGGUGAAGGACAGCGUGAAGGUAGGAGUCUCUAAGUGGGAUAAGUAUGCCCAAUAUAAGUUUCUUUCCAAAGGUAAAUCCUUAGUCAUUUUCUGGAGGGUGUUGUGAAAACAGCCUCUGAAAUUCACUUGUUAACCUCAAGUUUCUUCAAGGCAGUGAGAGAAUUGCAACCUCUGCAGAGUGAACAACCCUGGGCUCCUAGACUUUCCUUGAGAUCUCAUUUCUACAUUCACAUGUUUUUCUUUCUUUUUUCUUGAUUAAUAUUUGCUAGAAGUUUAUUGAUUUUUUUCCAGGCUACAAAAAGAAACUUUUCUUGGGUUAAUGACUCAAUUACACCAUCUUUAUAUUUCCUUACUCUAUUAUGUAUUGAUGCUUUUCUUUCUAUUUUUCUUCGAUACCUGCCUACUCACUUUCAUUGAACUUUUAUUUGUCGAACUCUUUAAUUUUAUCUUUGGUAGUACAAAUAUUUAAAGCUGUAGAUCUCCUCACAAAUACUGCUUUCUCCAUAUGCCAGGUGGUCAGAGAUACAGCAUUUUCACUGACAUGAUUUUCUAAGUGAUCAUUAUUAUAGACAACUUUUCUGUUGGCUGAGAAAAACUUGUUAUUGUGUACUUUAUUUUAAAAUUCCACAGAUAUCUAUCUUUUUUUUUUUUCAAAGAAAAAACAAGGAAGCAGGGGGAAGCAAAUACAGGAAACAUCUAAAGUUACAUAACCUUUGUAAGAUUUGAGACUAGAACCCAGGUUGAUUGACUCUGGUCUAAUCAGUGAGAAAAUGUUUUUCUACUUCUAAAGUAAUUGUUCAAACUUGAGAGUUUCUGGAAAACUCUUCAGUGAAAUGUGAAAUGGAGAAUUGCAAUGUUUAGAGUUGGGAAGUCAGAUUCUGCCUUGGCUGCUUGAGAGCUUUUUGACUUUGAGCAAGUCUCUAGGUCUCUUUGAGUUUCAACCUCACUACUUGCAAUAUGGAAAAAUAACAUUAAUUUUAUAUUGUAAAGAUGAAACAUCAAAUUGUUACAUAAAAUGCCUCAUAUACCACAAGUGAUCCAUAAAUAUUCAUCUCUGCUCCUUUAAU